rnacentral:rRNA from 1 species
AUACGGAGGAUCCGAGCGUUAUCCGGAUUUAUUGGGUUUAAAGGGAGCGUAGGUGGGAUAUUAAGUCAGCUGUGAAAGUUUGGGGCUCAACCUUAAAAUUGCAGUUGAUACUGGUUUCCUUGAGUACAGUAGAGGUGGGCGGAAUUCGUGGUGUAGCGGUGAAAUGCUUAGAUAUCACGAAGAACUCCGAUUGCGAAGGCAGCUCACUAGACUGUUACUGACACUGAUGCUCGAAAGUGUGGGUAUCAAACAGGAUUAGAUACCCUGGUAGUCCACACAGUAAACGAUGAAUACUCGCUGUUUGCGAUAUACAGUAAGCGGCCAAGCGAAAGCAUUAAGUAUUCCACCUGGGGAGUACGCCGGCAACGGUGAAACUUAAAUGAAUUGGCGGGG